CACGUAGGGGGCGAGCGUUGUCCGGAAUCACUGGGCGUAAAGGGCGUGUAGGCGGCUAAGUAAGUCAGGUGUGAAAUCCCUCGGCUCAACCGAGGAAUAGCACAUGAAACUAUCUAGCUUGAGUGCAGGAGAGGGGAGCGGAAUUCCCGGUGUAGCGGUGAAAUGCGUAGAUAUCGGGAAGAACACCGGUGGCGAAGGCGGCUCUCUGGACUGUAACUGACGCUGAGGCGCGAAAGCUGGGGUAGCGAACGGGAUUAGAUACC
rnacentral:rRNA from 1 species